GUAGUCUCGCACAGAUGCAUAUCAAUAAGCGGAGGAAAAGAAACUAACAAGGAUUCCCUCAGUAACGGUGAGUGAAGCGGGAAGAGCUCAAAUUUGAAAUCUUGAAAGGUCACCUUUCACGAAUUGUAGUUUAAAGAAGUGUUUUCUGUUACGAUCGUAAUAUAAGUUCUUUGGAAUAGGACAUCACAGAGGGUGAGAAUCCCGUCUAUGAUUGCGAUUUGUAGCUUUGUGAUACACUUUCAAAGAGUCGGGUUGUUUGGGAAUGCAGCCCAAAACGGGAGGUAAAUUUCUUCUAAGGCUAAAUAUUGGCGAGAGACCGAUAGCGAACAAGUACCGUGAGGGAAAGAUGAAAAGAACUUUGAAAAGAGAGUUAAAUAGUACGUGAAAUUGUCAAAAGGGAAGCGUUUAACACCAGUGUUGUUUUCUGAAAAUCAACCUCUGUUAGCUUUAUGCAUGCUUGUUUAGACCUAAUCAGCUAUCUUGUAUGUUCUAUUGUUUGCAGUGGUGCACUUUUCAGUUACAGGUCAACAUCAGUUUCUUUUGUUGUAAAAGGGUAAGAGGAAGGUGGCUUUAGCUUCGGUUAAAGUGUUUAUAGCCUUUUACCUCUGCAGUCGGAGAGAUUGAGGUCUGCAGCGUAGAUCCUUCGGGGUUAGAUACAUUUGUGCUAAGUUAUAGCUUUUCAUAGACAACUUGUUGACUAUGUUUAGUCUUGUAGCUUACUCGCUUAUGCUAUUUUACCUACGCUUAGGAUGUUGACGCAUGAGAUAUACGC
rnacentral:rRNA from 1 species